UACAGAGGGUGCGAGCGUUAAUCGGAAUUACUGGGCGUAAAGCGUGCGUAGACGGCUAUCUAAGUCGGGUGUGAAAGCCCCGGGCUCAACCUGGGAAUGGCGAUGGAGACUGCAAGGCUAGAGUUUGGCAGAGGGGGGUAGAAUUCCACGUGUAGCAGUGAAAUGCGUAGAUAUGUGGAGGAACACCGAUGGCGAAGGCAGCCCCCUGGGUCAAAACUGACGCUCAUGCACGAAAGCGUGGGGAGCAAACAGG
rnacentral:rRNA from 1 species